rnacentral:rRNA from 1 species
UGGGGAAUCAUGGUCAAUGGGCGAAAGCCUGAACCUGCGACGCCGCGUGAGUGAUGAAGGUCGUAAGAUCGUAAAACUCUUUUCAGGGAUCUUAAAGCCUGUCUGUCAACAACAGGCAGGUCUGACUCUCCCUGGAAGAAGCCCCAGCCAACUACGUGCCAGCAGCUGCGGUAAUACGUAGGGGGCGAGCGUUAUUCGGAAUUACUGGGUGUAAAGGGUAUGUAGGCGGCCCUGCAAGGCGCGUGUCAAAGUCCAGUGCUCAACGCUGGGUGUGCGCGCGAGACUGACGGG